GGGUGAUCUGCCCUGUACUUUGGGAUAAGCCUGGGAAACUGGGUCUAAUACCGAAUAUGACAAUUUUUUGGAUGUGAUGGUGGAAAGCUUUUGCGGUAUGGGAUGAGCUCGCGGCCUAUCAGCUUGUUGGUGGGGUAAUGGCCUACCACGGCGUCGACGGGUAGCCGGCCUGAGAGGGUGUACGGCCACAUUGGGAGUGAGAUACGGCCCAGACUCUUACGGGAGGCAGCAGUGGGGAAUAUUGCACAAUGGGCGCAAGCCUGAUGCAGCGACGCCGCGUGGGGGAUGACGGCCUUCGGGUUGUAAACUCCUUUCGCAACCGACGAAGCCUUUUGGUGACGGUAGGUUGAGAAGAAGCACCGGCUAACUACGUGCCAGCAGCCGCGGUAAUACGUAGGGUGCGAGCGUUGUCCGGAAUUACUGGGCGUAAAGAGCUCGUAGGUGGUUUGUCGCGUCGUUUGUGGAAUACCGCAGCUUAACUGCGGGGUUGCAGGCGAUACGGGCAUAACUUGAGUGCUGUAGGGGAGACUGGAAUUCCUGGUGUAGCGGUGGAAUGCGCAGAUAUCAGGAGGAACACCGAUGGCGAAGGCAGG
rnacentral:rRNA from 1 species